rnacentral:rRNA from 1 species
GACGAACUUUGGCGGCGUGCUUAACACAUGCAAGUCGAACGGAAAGGCCCUGCUUUUGUGGGGUGCUCGAGUGGCGAACGGGUGAGUAACACGUGAGUAACCUGCCCUUGACUUUGGGAUAACUUCAGGGAACUGGGGCUAAUACCGGAUAGGAGCUCCUGCUGCAUGGUGGGGGUUGGAAAGUUUCGGCGGUUGGGGAUGGACUCGCGGCUUAUCAGCUUGUUGGUGGGGUAGUGGCUUACCAAGGCUUUGACGGGUAGCCGGCCUGAGAGGGUGACCGGCCACAUUGGGACUGAGAUACGGCCCAGACUCCUACGGGAGGCAGCAGUGGGGAAUAUUGCACAAUGGGCGGAAGCCUGAUGCAGCAACGCCGCGUGCGGGAUGACGGCCUUCGGGUUGUAAACCGCUUUCGCCUGUGACGAAGCGUGAGUGACGGUAAUGGGUAAAGAAGCACCGGCUAACUACGUGCCAGCAGCCGCGGUGAUACGUAGGGUGCGAGCGUUGUCCGGAUUUAUUGGGCGUAAAGGGCUCGUAGGUGGUUGAUCGCGUCGGAAGUGUAAUCUUGGGGCUUAACCCUGAGCGUGCUUUCGAUACGGGUUGACUUGAGGAAGGUAGGGGAGAAUGGAAUUCCUGGUGGAGCGGUGGAAUGCGCAGAUAUCUGGAGGAACACCAGUGGCGAAGGCGGUUCUCUGGGCCUUUCCUGACGCUGAGGAGCGAAAGCGUGGGGAGCGAACAGGCUUAGAUACCCUGGUAGUCCACGCUGUAAACGGUGGGUACUAGGUGUGGGGUCCAUUCCACGGGUUCCGUGCCGUAGCUAACGCUUUAAGUACCCCGCCUGGGGAGUACGGCCGCAAGGCUAAAACUCAAAGGAAUUGACGGGGCCCCGCACAAGCGGCGGAGCAUGCGGAUUAAUUCGAUGCAACGCGUAGAACCUUACCUGGGUUUGACAUGGAUCGGGAGUGCUCAGAGAUGGGUGUGCCUCUUUUGGGGUCGGUUCACAGGUGGUGCAUGCCUGUCGUCAGCUCGUGUCGUGAGAUGUUGGGUUAAGUCCCGCAACGAGCGCAACCCUUGUUCACUGUUGCCAGCACGUUAUGGUGGGGACUCAGUGGAGACCGCCGGGGUCAACUCGGAGGAAGGUGGGGAUGACGUCAAGUCAUCAUGCCCCUUAUGUCCAGGGCUUCACGCAUGCUACAAUGGCUGGUACAGAGAGUGGCGAGCCUGUGAGGGUGAGCGAAUCUCGGAAAGCCGGUCUCAGUUCGGAUUGGGGUCUGCAACUCGAUCUCAUGAAGUCGGAGUCGCUAGUAAUCGCAGAUCAGCAACGCUGCGGUGAAUACGUUCCCGGGGCU